UACGGGGGGGGCAAGCGUUGUUCGGAAUUACUGGGCGUAAAGGGCUCGUAGGCGGCCAACUAAGUCAGACGUGAAAUCCCUCGGCUUAACCGGGGAACUGCGUCUGAUACUGGUUGGCUUGAAUCCGGGAGAGGGAUGUGGAAUUCCAGGUGUAGCGGUGAAAUGCGUAGAUAUCUGGAGGAACACCGGUGGCGAAGGCGGCAUCCUGGACCGGUAUUGACGCUGAUGCGCGAAAGCCAGGGGAGCAAACGGG
rnacentral:rRNA from 1 species